GAACUGGCCCUUCUUGGAGGGCUGCGCCUGCACCCCGGAGCGGAUGGCCGAGGCUGGCUUCAUCCACUGCCCCACUGAGAACGAGCCAGACUUGGCCCAGUGUUUCUUCUGCUUCAAGGAGCUGGAAGGCUGGGAGCCAGAUGACGACCCCAUUGGGCCGGGCACGGUGGCUUACGCCUGUAAUACCAGCACUUUGGGAGGCCGAGGCGGGCGGAUCACGAGGUCAGGAGAUCGAGACCAUCUUGGCUAAUACGAGAGGAACAUAAAAAGCAUUCGUCCGGUUGCGCUUUCCUUUCUGUCAAGAAGCAGUUUGAAGAAUUAACCCUUGGUGAAUUUUUGAAACUGGACAGAGAAAGAGCCAAGAACAAAAUUGAGAGAGCUCUGUUAGCAGAAUGAAAAAAUUGGAAGCCAGAUUCAGGGAGGGACUGGAAGCAAAAGAAUUUCUGUUCGAGGAAGAGCCUGAUGUUUGCCAGGGUCUGUUUAACUGGACAUGAAGAGGAAGGCUCUGGACUUUCCUCCAGGAG
rnacentral:lncRNA from 1 species